CAGUCGCCGCGGUAACACGUAGGGUGCGAGCGAUAAUCGGAAUUACUGGGCGUAAAGCGUGCGCAGGCGGUUUUGUAAGACAGGCGUGAAAUCCACGGGCUCAGCCUGGGAACUGCAUUUGUGACUGUAGAGCUGGAGUGCGGCAGAGGGGGAUGGAAUUCCGCGUGUAGCAGUGAAAUGCGUAGAUAUGCGGAGGAACACCGAUGGCGAAGGCAAUCCCCUGGGCCUGCACUGACGCUCAUGCACGAAAGCGUGGGGAGCAAACAGGAUUAGAUACCCGAGUAGUCCCUGUCUCUUAUAC
rnacentral:rRNA from 1 species